rnacentral:pre_miRNA from 21 species
UAAGUGGUACAAUACCUCAGUUUUUUCAGAUGUUCUAAAAAUUCACCUGGAAAUACCGAGGUUGAGUUUCACUGAAU